rnacentral:rRNA from 1 species
GAUGAACGCUGGCGGCGUGCCUAAUACAUGCAAGUCGAGCGAAUGGAUUAAGAGCUUGCUCUUAUGAAGUUAGCGGCGGACGGGUGAGUAACACGUGGGUAACCUGCCCAUAAGACUGGGAUAACUCCGGGAAACCGGGGCUAAUACCGGAUAACAUUUUGAACCGCCUGGUUCGAAAUUGAAAGGCGGCUUCGGCUGUCACUUAUUGAUGGACCCGCGUCGCAUUAGCUAGUUGGUGAGGUAACGGCUCACCAAGGCAACGAUGCGUAGCCGACCUGAGAGGGUGAUCGGCCACACUGGGACUGAGACACGGCCCAGACUCCUACGGGAGGCAGCAGUAGGGAAUCUUCCGCAAUGGACGAAAGUCUGACGGAGCAACGCCGCGUGAGUGAUGAAGGCUUUCGGGUCGUAAAACUCUGUUGUUAGGGAAGAACAAGUGCUAGUUGAAUAAGCUGGCACCUUGACGGUACCUAACCAGAAAGCCACGGCUAACUACGUGCCAGCCGCCGCUGUAA